rnacentral:lncRNA from 1 species
UUUCUGUGAACUCUUAUUACAUGCCAGACACUGUGUAAGUGCUUGACAUAUGCUUGAUAUAUGUAACUGCUUGACAUAUGCAUGAAUUCAUUGAAUUUAUUCAAUUCUCUCCCUACGAGGCCAGUACUAGCAUUAGUCUACUUUAGAGAUGAGAAAACCGAGACACAGAGGUAAAGUCCCAUGUUAAUACUGCAUGAGGCAGAGCUAGCAUGCAGACCAUCC